GACAAAAACAACAACAAACAUGUAAACCAUUCAGAACUGGUCAAUGGUUGUUCCAAAAGGAGGCCCCGCUGUGUUUGCCUUCAAACAUUUGCACAUUAGCUUUUAUUUUGGAGGGCUUGUGUUUUUUUUUUUUUUUACAUUGCCAAAGUCCCUUGUCAUUUGCAUCCCUGCUUUCUAAGUUUUGAAACUUCCUAGAGUUUCACAAACGCCUCCUUUGAGGUUCAAGGAAUAUGUCUGGGCAACCACUUUUAACAUUACUCACCAAGUGUCAUGCGUUUGGAUUAGGUCACUAUCGUGUGACGAACAGUCGUUUGCUUUGUAAGAUUACAUUUUCUUCAGCCAACAUAUUUAUUACCUAAUUGACAUUCGGCGACAACUUUUUUGUGCGCAUGACAAUUUUUUUUUCGGUUUUAAAUAGCGUUAAAUUUUCCUACGUUUUCACGAAAAGUUCGAAAACUUUUGUAUCGUUUUUUUUUCAAAUGUAAUAUUUUACUUGUUUGCUAUUUAAUCGGCAUUUUAAGACAAGGUUUUGCGGACACGAGACACUUUUUCGUUAUUAUGGAGUGUCAAAAUUUCCGAGGGUUAACGAACACCUCAUAUGACGUUCAGGGGCAUUGUUUUUAUGUGGCAAGUCAUAUUUUUUAAUCGUGAAAAAGAAUGUGGUUAAGUCAUUUUUACUUUUGUCUUUUUUAAAAAAAGAUUGCAACACGUUUUUCCCAGUUACUAACAAUUGAAUCGUCAUUUGAAGCCCCAAAUUAACACUUAAAAAUAACCUCCUGCGACUUUUCCUCUUUCAAGAGAGCUACGGCAUUUCCUGAACGCCUCCGCGUGAGGUGGAAGGAGGUCGUCACGUACUGCGCGUCGAGGGGCCAAGCGACCACCCACACGAUGCCGUGCCCCAUGGACCAGGCGAACCAGGCUCCGUCGGGGGAGAAGUCCACGCUCCACGUCUCGCAGCCAGGACGGCCCUCCAACGACGGCGGCCGUCGGGUCUUGAGCUCCAGAAUGAGCGCCGGGUCGGAGGAGGCUGCGGACCACCAAAACAACCACUUCAGUGUCCGGGGGCGGACUCGCCUCUUCCCCGGCCUAUGUCGCCUCGGUGACGCGUUUACGUACACGUCGGUUGGGGCUCGGCCGCGUUGUUUUCGUUGGAGCACAUCGUCGGCGCGGUCGUCUUUCACAUCGUUCCGCUUCCUAACCUCUCGGCGUCCGUCGAGACAAACUAGUUGGGACUCCGCGACGGCGG